rnacentral:misc_RNA from 1 species
UUUACUGACACAAAUGCUACAUGUAUAUGUAAGUCUGUUUUCUUUUCAACAAGCUUUUAUAUCUUUAAUCGCGUAACAUUUACGUAGCGUAAAUUAGUUUCAAAGCAAAGCUUCUAUUUAACAUGUGAAAGGUUAGUCAUUUUUUUUAUAUAAAGAAUAGUCAUCAUUUUAGCAAGAUUGCAAUCAUUUUCUUUUCUGCUUUAUUUUUGAAAAGCAAAUGUAAACUCUAUUUUAAAUUGUAUCUGCUGAAUAUACCUCAUUUUAUGGAUCAAAGCAGUUGAAUUAUCAAUAAUUUAAUCAAAGUAAUAAAGAACGGUACAUACAGUGUACAUUCAUUUUGGAAUGUUCAAUAUGUUGUUUUUUUUAUUGAUAUCUGCAUAAUACAAUAAAAAAAUAACAAUCUU